rnacentral:rRNA from 1 species
CAAGCAAACUUUAAUAAAUCCAAGCAUCCCUUUCGUAAAUCCAAGCAAACUUUUCGUAAAUCUAAACAACAUUUUCCUAGGUGCCCUCGAAUUAGCCCGGGAGAUCGUAUUGAUUACAGAAACAUGAGUUUAUUUAAUAGACUAGUGAAAAAGGAAAAAUAUUAUCAAGACGAAUAA